AACAUCUUCUUACCAAAAAGUGCAAAGGUAAGGAGAUACGUUCUGCGCAUGCGCUGCGCUAUCUCCUUAAAUACGCAUAAUUUGUUAAAAGGAUAUUAAGCAAAGUUGUAGCCCUCAUAAAGACGAACAACUUUUAUUAACAUCUUCUUACCAAAAAGUGCAAAGGUAAGGAGAUACGUUCUGCGCAUGCGCGGCGCUAUCUCCUUAAAUACGCAUAAUUUGUUGAAAGGAUAUU
rnacentral:miRNA from 1 species